GUGAGGAAUAUUGCGCAAUGGAGGCAACUCUGACGCAGCCAUGCCGCGUGCAGGAAGAAGGCGCUACGCGUUGUAAACUGCUUUUAACCGGGAAGAAACCCCAGGACGUGUCCUGGGUUGACGGUACCGGAGGAAUAAGCACCGGCUAACUUCGUGCCAGCAGCCGCGGUAAUACGAAGGGUGCAAGCGUUAUCCGGAUUCAUUGGGUUUAAAGGGUGCGUAGGCGGAGCGUUAAGUCAGUGGUGAAAUCCUGCAGCUUAACUGUAGACUUGCCAUUGAUACUGGCGCUCUUGAGUGUGCUUGAAGUGGGCGGAAUGUGCCGUGUAGCGGUGAAAUGCUUAGAUAUGGCACAGAACACCAAUUGCGAAGGCAGCUCACUAAGGCGAUACUGACGCUGAGGCACGAAAGCGUGGGGAUCGAACAGGAUUAGAAACCCCGGUAGUCC
rnacentral:rRNA from 1 species